ACUUUUAAAGGAUAACAGCUAUCCAUUGGUCUUAGGCCCCAAAAAUUUUGGUGCAACUCCAAAUAAAAGUA
rnacentral:tRNA from 10 species